CACUUUUUAAGUGAUUAGAUUGAAAAUAAAUAUUAUGAAAAAAUGAAUUAAUAAUAAAAAUUAUAAAAAUGUAAUAAUUUUUAUAAUUGGUAUUUAUUAAUUCUAAAAAAAUUGAUAAUUCAGAUUAAUAAGAUAGACCCGCUGAAUUGAAGCAUCUUAAUAAGCGGAGGAAAAGAAAAUAACAAUGAUUUCCAUAGUAACGGCGAGUGAAAAGGAAAAAGCCCAAGCAUUGAAUCAAAAAGGUAACUUUUUGAGAUGUGGUGGAUAAAAGGUUAGAGAUAAUUUAGAGAAUUUAUUUUUUGAAGUUAUCUGGAAAGGUACGGCAUAGAGGGUGAUACCCCCGUUCAAAAAAUAUAAACUCUAGAUUAAUAUGAUCUCUGAUCUAAGAGGAGUAGUGUUGCUUGAGAGUGCAGCGCAAAGAGUGGUGGUAUACUCCAUCAAAGGCUAAAUAUUUAUGAGAAACCGAUAGCGAACAAGUACCGUGAGGGAAAGAUGAAAAGUACUCUGAAAAGAGGGUUAAAAGAGCCUGAAGUUGUUGGAAUGGAAGGGAUUUACGGAGAGUACUAGAGAAGAGAGCGGAUGGGAGAAGCACGCAAGUGUGUAUUGCAACCGUUCUUCAACACUAACGAAUAUUGAUAUGGGAUCAAAUGGCCUAUUAUGUUAGAUAUUUGAAGUUGAUUCCUCGGAGUUUUCUUUGAAUGUUUGUAAUAGGAACCUGAUGCUCUGUAUUGAUAUUUCAAAAUUCCAAUCAAUCACAUGGUAUUCAUGUGUAUUGGAUUCGAGUUAGUGAGGAUCACGUAAAUCUACCCGUCUUGAAACACGGACCAAGGAGUCUCAUUUAUAAGCGAGGAUAAGAUGUUUAGUAACGAUCUAAUAGUAUCCAAAAUGAAAGUGAAUUCAUUGAAUGGGAAGAGAAUCCUCUCGGGGGUUUUCUGCAGCAUUGACUUGGCUGUUUGGGUUGUCUAAUUCUUUAUGGGUUAGUACCCUUUUGCUGAAAGUAAAAGUUUAUAGAUGAGGACCCGAAAGAUGGUGAACUAUACUUGGAAUGGAGGAAGCCAGGGGAAACUCUGGUGGAUGUCCUGAGCCGUGCUAACGUGCAAAUUGCUGGUGGAAUCUGGGUAUAGGGGCGAAAGACUCAUCGAACCAUCUAGUAGCUGGUUCCCUCCGAAUUUUCCCUCAGGAUUGCUGUGACUUUGUGAUAGUUGUAUCAAGUAAAGCGAAUGAUUAGAAGUGGUGAAGCUCAGCUUUGCUGUUCGGGGAUUUUAUAUCCUUGACUUAUUCUCAAACUUUGAAGUGGUACUUUUUAUGUGUUGUGGUCUUUAAUAAUGCACUGGACACAUAAUGAAUAUAGGAGGUCACAAGUGGGCCAUAUCUGGUAAGCAGAACUGGCGAUGUGGGAUGAACCAAACGAGGAGUUAAGGUGCCUCAGAGCGAGAGUCAAGGAAGCCAGAAAGGGAGUCGAUUCAUCUAGACAGCAGGACGGUGGCCACGGAAGUCGGAAUCCGCUAAGAAGUGUGUAACAACUUACCUGCCGAAUGAAUCGGUCCCGAAAAUGGAUGGCGCUAAAGUCUCGGGAUGACGUUAUACCGAUACUCUUCUAUCAAAGAUAUUUGAUUGUAGUUUUUGAUAAGUAGGAGGAAGCGUGAAGGGGAUUGUGAAGCCAGAGUAGCGUGAGCUACGGUGGAAUUACCUUUAGUGCAGAUCUUGGUGGUAGUAGCGAUUACUCAAGUGAGAAGCUUGAGGGCCAAUGAGGAGAAGGGUUUCGCGCGAAUGGCGAACGAGCGCGAGUUAGCCGGACCUAAACGAUUGGGGAAACCUUUGAAAUAAUGCAUUUUCUAAUUUUAAGUGUAGAUGGCUUGCUAUUUAUAUUUGAGGUUAGAAUUUAAUAUAUGCAUUUAAUCGUGAAAGGGAAUCAGGGUUAAUAUUCCUGAGCCGAUUAUGGAGUUAAUAAUUAGGGCUUGCUCUAGUUAUUUUGAUAAAUGGUAACAUGAAAUAACUUUGUGAGUUCAAUCGACAGUCAUUGAAAAGUUGUCUUUUCUUUCUAAUCCACAUUUGUAUUGCAUAGAUUUGGAGGGAUGUAAAAGUUCUUUUGAGUUUAUGCGAUACGAGCUUUGGGUAUUCUCUUGGAGUAAGGUUGAAUGUUAUUGAAGAGUUUUGGCUUUCGGGUUGAGAUUUUUUGAUGAUGUUUGAAAUUAUUCCGUCGGGAGGGUAUCUGAACACAUAUCCUUUGAAUUGAGUCAAUCAGAGAAGAGGGUGUAGGUGGAGAAUUUGGUAUUUCCAAUCUUUGGGAGUACAAUGACAUGUUUGCGAUUGAACCUUGAAAAACAAAGGGAAUUCAGGAUUGUUUAGACUUGAUCCUGGGAGUUCAUAAUCGACCGUACCAAUGACCGCAACAGGUCUCCAAGGUUAAAAGCCUUUGGUGUUGUAGAAGAAAGUAGGUAAGGGAAGUCGGCAAAAUAGCACCGUAAGUUUGCGAUAAGGUGUGGCUCUGAAGAACAGAUAUUAUAAAAGUAGGUAUGCUCUCGGGUAUAUUUAAGUUUAUAAUGUCAUAAUGUUUAAUUCAGAACUGAAAGAAACCAGGGGAAUUGGACUGUUUAAUAAAAACAAAGCAUUGUGAAGGUACGUACGUGUAUGUUGACACAAUGUGAUUUCUGCCCAGUGCUGUGAAUGUCAAAGUGAAGAGAUUCAAGGAAGCACGGGUUAACGGCGGGAGUAACUAUGACUCUCUUAAGGUAGCCAAAUGCCUCGUCAUCUAAUUAGUGACGCGCAUGAAUGGAUGAACGAAAUUCCCACUGUCCCUAUGUACUAUCUAGCGAACCCACUGCCAAGGGAACGGGCUUGGCAAAAUCAGCGGGGAAAGAAGACCCUGUUGAGCUUGACUCUAGUCUGACUUUGUGAAAUGAC
rnacentral:rRNA from 1 species